CUUUGAGGCCAUGCCACUCUGAACAUGCCUGAUCCUGUCUGAUCUUGGAAUCUAAGCAGGGUCAGGCCUGGUUAUUACUUGGAUGGGAGACCACCUAGCAAGACCGGGUGUUGUAGGCG
rnacentral:rRNA from 1 species